AUUGGUGCAGCCGCAGAACAGAACGCACCCGGAUGAAUCUUGACAAUGAGGAAGAGAUAGAACCAACAGACACAGGUAGAGGCCGAUGGAGGAUGUGCCCAUCCUCCUCCCAGGAAGCAGGAGGCUAAGACAUUCUAUCCAAGAACAUUUUGAUCCCACGCCAGACUCAUCUUUGGUGAAAAGCAAUAUUUUGAAGAAUCAGAACUCACGGGGUGAUGCAGAUUUUAAGGCAUCUUCGGCGGACAAACAGCUAAUUGGUUCUGCGGCCCCGGGAUUUGCAAAGGGUCAAAAUGAUUUGUUGUAAAUAUGCAUCUCUAUUA
rnacentral:lncRNA from 1 species